rnacentral:rRNA from 1 species
UGGGGAAUAUUGGACAAUGGGCGCAAGCCUGAUCCAGCAAUGCCGCGUGGGUGAAGAAGGUCUUCGGAUUGUAAAGCCCUUUCGACAGGGACGAUGAUGACGGUACCUGUAGAAGAAGCCCCGGCUAACUUCGUGCCAGCAGCCGCGGUAAUACGAAGGGGGCUAGCGUUGCUCGGAAUUACUGGGCGUAAAGGGCGCGUAGGCGGCUCUGUUAGUCAGGCGUGAAAUUCCUGGGCUCAACCUGGGGACUGCGCUUGAUACGGCAGGGCUAGAGUGUGGAAGAGGGUCGUGGAAUUCCCAGUGUAGAGGUGAAAUUCGUAGAUAUUGGGAAGAACACCGGUGGCGAAGGCGGCGACCUGGUCCAUUACUGACGCUGAGGCGCGACAGCGUGGGGAGCAAACAGGAUUAGAUACCCUGGUAGUCCACGCCGUAAACGAUGUGCGCUGGAUGUUGGAGCUCCUAGAGCUUCAGUGUCGUAGCUAACGCGGUAAGCGCACCGCCU